UACGUAGGGUGCAAGCGUUGUCCGGAAUUAUUGGGCGUAAAGAGCUCGUAGGCGGUCUGUCGCGUCUGCUGUGAAAACUCAGGGCUUAACCCUGAGCUUGCAGUGGGUACGGGCAGACUAGAGUGCGGUAGGGGAGACUGGAAUUCCUGGUGUAGCGGUGAAAUGCGCAGAUAUCAGGAGGAACACCGAUGGCGAAGGCAGGUCUCUGGGCCAUAACUGACGCUGGAGACGCGAAAGCGUGGGAGCGAACAGG
rnacentral:rRNA from 1 species